UAUUGGUCAAUAGCCUAAUGGCUGAACCAGCAACUUGGAGGAAUGUAUAAGGAAAGCUAGUCAAAUAGUUAUUACUUACUUGUAUUAGUUAUUAGUAUGGGAUUAACUUAGUUAAUUAAAGUUCAAAGUAGAUAUUGAUUAUGACAAUAUUUGCUUAUUUCUUGACCAAGUCACGUGCCAGCAGUCGCGGUAAUACGUGGAAGAUUAGUGUUAUUCAUGUUUAACAGGUUUAAAGGGUACCUAGACGGUUAAUUAAACACUACAUGUAUUAAUUAUCUAGAGUUUAAUGUAAGAAAGAUAGAGUACGGUGAGAGGAGAGAUAAAAUUUUGUGAUACCACUCAGAAACUGGUAAAGGCGAAGGCUAC
rnacentral:rRNA from 1 species